rnacentral:misc_RNA from 1 species
UCGUAACAAGGUCUCCGUAGGUGAACCUGCGGAGGGAUCAUUACACAAUAACAAGGCGGGUUGGACACCCCCCGCUGGGCACUGCUUCACGGCGUGCGCGGCGGGGCCGGCCCUGCUGAAUUAUUUACCCGUGUCUUUUGCGUACUUCUUGUUUCCUGGGUGGGCUCGCCCGCCCUCAGGACCAACCACAAACCUUUUGCAAUAGCAAUCAGCGUCAGUAACAACGUAAUUAAUUACAACUUUCAACAACGGAUCUCUUGGUUCUGGCAUCGAUGAAGAACGCAGCGAAAUGCGAUACGUAGUGUGAAUUGCAGAAUUCAGUGAAUCAUCGAAUCUUUGAACGCACAUUGCGCCCUUUGGUAUUCCAAAGGGCAUGCCUGUUCGAGCGUCAUUUGUACCCUCAAGCUUUGCUUGGUGUUGGGCGUCUUUUGUCUCCAGUUCGCUGGAGACUCGCCUUAAAGUCAUUGGCAGCCGGCCUACUGGUUUCGGAGCGCAGCACAAGUCGCGCUCUUCGCCAGCCAAGGUCAGCGUCCAGCAAGCCUUUUUUUCAACCUUUGACCUCGGAUCAGGUAGGGAUACCCGCUGAACUUAAGCAUAUCAAUAA